rnacentral:rRNA from 1 species
AGAGUUUGAUCCUGGCUCAGAACGAACGCUGGCGGCAGGCUUAACACAUGCAAGUCGAACGCACCGCAAGGUGAGUGGCAGACGGGUGAGUAACGCGUGGGAACGUGCCCUUCAGUUCGGGAUAACCCAGGGAAACUUGGGCUAAUACCGGAUACGUGCGAGAGCAGAAAGAUUCAUCGCUGAAGGAUCGGCCCGCGUCUGAUUAGCUAGUUGGUAGGGUAAUGGCUUACCAAGGCGACGAUCAGUAGCUGGUCUGAGAGGAUGAUCAGCCACACUGGGACUGAGACACGGCCCAGACUCCUACGGGAGGCAGCAGCCAGGAAUCUUGGGCAAUGGGCGAAAGCCUGACCCAGCAACACCGUGUGGGUGAUGAAGGCCUUAGGGUCGUAAAGCCCUGUUGAUAGGGACGAAGGGCGAAGGGUUAAUAGCCCCUAGCUUGACGGUACCUUUCGAGGAAGCCCCGGCUAACUACGUGCCAGCAGCCGCGGUAAUACGUAGGGGGCGAGCGUUGUCCGGAAUUAUUGGGCGUAAAGAGCGUGUAGGCGGUUCGGUAAGUCUGCUGUGAAAUCCUAGGGCUCAACCCUGGGCGUGCAGCGGAUACUGCCGGGCUAGAGGGUGGUAGAGGCGAGUGGAAUUCCGAGUGUAGCGGUGAAAUGCGCAGAUAUUCGGAGGAACACCAGUAGCGAAGGCGGCUCGCUGGGCCACACCUGACGCUGAGACGCGAAAGCGUGGGGAGCGAACAGGAUUAGAUACCCCGGUAGUCC